rnacentral:rRNA from 1 species
AGUGAACGCUGGCGGUAGGCCUAACACAUGCAAGUCGAACGGCAGCACAGUAAGAGCUUGCUCUUACGGGUGGCGAGUGGCGGACGGGUGAGGAAUACAUCGGAAUCUACUUUUUCGUGGGGGAUAACGUAGGGAAACUUACGCUAAUACCGCAUACGACCUACGGGUGAAAGCAGGGGAUCUUCGGACCUUGCGCGAUUGAAUGAGCCGAUGUCGGAUUAGCUAGUUGGCGGGGUAAAGGCCCACCAAGGCGACGAUCCGUAGCUGGUCUGAGAGGAUGAUCAGCCACACUGGAACUGAGACACGGUCCAGACUCCUACGGGAGGCAGCAGUGGGGAAUAUUGGACAAUGGGCGCAAGCCUGAUCCAGCCAUACCGCGUGGGUGAAGAAGGCCUUCGGGUUGUAAAGCCCUUUUGUUGGGAAAGAAAAGCAGCAGGUUAAUACCCCGCUGUUCUGACGGUACCCAAAGAAUAAAUACCGGCUAACUUCGU